GCCCGGGUGGCGAAAUUGGCAGACGCGUACGGUUCAGGGCCGUAUGCCGCAAGGCAUGGGAGUUCAAAUCUCCCCCCGGGCA
rnacentral:tRNA from 1 species